ACUUACGGCCAUACCAGCCUGACUACGCCCGAUCUUGUCUGAUCUUGGAAGCUAAGCAGGGUCGGGCCUGGUUAGUACUUGGAUGGGAGACUCCCUGGGAAUACCAGGUGCUGUAAGUG
rnacentral:rRNA from 1 species